AUCCCAUGGUGAGGACACAAGAGGAUGUACUCUUGAAGCCUCUCCCAUGCUUCAGAAAUUGAUUCAUUUGACGCCUGCUGAAAACUGGAGAUUCUUCCAUAUGAAGAAU